GAUGAAGAACGCAGCGAAAUGCGAUAAGUAGUGUGAAUUGCAGAAUUCAGUGAAUCAUCGAGUCUUUGAACGCACAUUGCGCCCCCUGGUAUUCCGGGGGGCAUGCCUGUCCGAGCGUCAUUGCUGCCCUCAAGCACGGCUUGUGUGUUGGGCUCCGUCCCCCCGGGGACGGGCCCGAAAGGCAGCGGCGGCACCGAGUCCGGUCCUCGAGCGUAUGGGGCUUUGUCACCCGCUCUGUAGGCCCGGCCGGCGCCAGCCGACAACCCAUCAUCCUUUUCAGGUUGACCUCGGAUCAGGUAGGGAUACCCGCUGAACUUAAGCAUAUCAAUAAGCGGAGGA
rnacentral:misc_RNA from 1 species